UACCAGCACCCCGAGUGGUCGGGACGAUUUAUUGGGCCUAAAGCAUCCGUAGCCGGUCAUGCAAGUCCUCCGUUAAAUCCACCUGCUUAACAGAUGGGCUGCGGAGGAUACUACAAGGCUAGGAGGCGGAAGAGGCAAGCGGUACUCAGUGGGUAGGGGUAAAAUCCUCUGAUCCAUUGAAGACCACCAGUGGCGAAGGCGGCUUGCCAAUACGCGCUCGACGGUGAGGGAUGAAAGCUGGGGGAGCAAACCGG
rnacentral:rRNA from 1 species